UACGUAGGGUGCAGGCGUUAAUCGGAAUUACUGGGCGUAAAGCGUGCGCAGGCGGUCUUUUUAAGUCAGAUGUGAAAAUCCCCCGGGCUUAACCUGGGAACUGCGUUUGAAACUGGAAGGCUUGAGUGUGGCAGAGGGGGGGUGGAAUUCCACGUGUAGCAGUGAAAUGCGUAGAGAUGUGGAGGAACACCGAUGGCGAAGGCAGCCCCCUGGGCUAACACUGACGCCUCAUGCACGAAAGCGUGGGGAGCAAACAGG
rnacentral:rRNA from 1 species